CCUUAAUCCUGAGGUGCCGGAGCUAGGUCUCUUUUGACCGAAGCUGGUGACGCCACGCUGCCGAGAAAAGCCUCUGAGGAGUGGAGUGGGUACCCGUACCGCAAACCGACACAGGUAGGCGAGGAGAAAAUCCUCAGGCGCAAGUGUGAUCCCCCGUUUAGGAACUCGGCAAAUUGGCCCCGUAACUUCGGAAGAAGGGGUGCUCCUACUCGUCAUCCGACUUGCUCGGAGAAGCGUGAGGGAGUUGCAAUAAAGAGGCUCAGGCGACUGUUUACUAAAAACACAGGGCUCUGCGAAGUCGAACACGACGUAUAGGGUCUGACGCCUGCCCGGUGCCGGAAGGUUAAAGGGAGGGGUUAGCUGCAAGGCGAAGCUCUGAACUGAAGCCCCGGUAUACGGCGGCCGUAACUAUAACGGUCCUAAGGUAGCGAAAUUCCUUGUCGGGUAAGUUCCGACCUGCACGAAUGGCGUAACAAUCUGAGCGCUGUCUCAACGGGGAGCACUGCGAAUUUGUGGUACCGGUGAAGACGCCGGUUGCCCGUCACAAGACGAAAAGACCCCGUGCACCUUUACUACAUCCUAGUAGUGAAUGCUGGCGCAGUAUGCGCAGGAUAGGUGGGAGGCUUUGAACCCGGGAUUUCGGUUUCGGGGGAGCCAACGGUGAGAUACCACCCUUACUGCUCCGGCGUUCUAACCUCGACCUGUUAUCCAGGUCAGGGACACUGCUAGGUGGGUAGUUUGACUGGGGCGGUCGCCUCCUAAAGAGUAACGGAGGCGCACGAAGGUUCGCUCAGGCUGUUUGGAAAUCAGCCAUAGAGUGCAAAGGCAUAAGCGAGCUUGACUGCGAGACUUACAAGUCGAGCAGGUGGGAAACCAGGUCUUAGUGAUCCGGUGGUUCCGCAUGGAAGGGCCAUCGCUCAACGGAUAAAAGGUACGCCGGGGAUAACAGGCUGAUCCUAGCCAAGAGUUCACAUCGACGCUAGGGUUUGGCACCUCGAUGUCGGCUCAUCGCAUCCUGGAGCUGUAGCAGGUUCCAAGGGUCCGGCUGUUCGCCGGUUAAAGCGGUACGUGAGCUGGGUUUAGAACGUCGCGAGACAGUUCGGUCUCUAUCUGUGAUGGGCGCAGGAGAUUUGAGUGGGGCUGACCUUAGUACGAGAGGACCGGGUUGGACGGACCUCUAGUGUAUCGGUUGUCGCGCCAGCGGCAGUGCCGAGUAGCUACGUCCGGAAGGGAGAAACGCUGAAGGCAUCCAAGCGUGAAACCCUCCACGAGAUGAGAUCUCCCAGGUCGCAAGACCUCUAAAGGCUCCUGGUAGACUACCAGGUUGAUAGGCCAGGUGUGGAAGCGCAGCGAUGCGUUAAGCUAACUGGUACUAAUCAGCCGUGAGGCUUGACC
rnacentral:rRNA from 1 species